rnacentral:tRNA from 1 species
AUCUAAGUAGUUUAAGUAGAAUAGUAAUUUGUGGUGUUACAGGUGUCUAAUGACUUUGGAUU